UACAGAGGUCCCAAGCGUUGUUCGGAUUCACUGGGCGUAAAGGGUGCGUAGGUGGCCGGGUAAGUCUGACGUGAAAUCUCCAAGCUCAACUUGGAAACGGCGUCGGAUACUAUUCGGCUCGAGGAUCGGAGGGGAGACUGGAAUACUUGGUGUAGCAGUGAAAUGCGUAGAUAUCAAGUGGAACACCAGUGGCGAAGGCGAGUCUCUGGACGAUUCCUGACACUGAGGCACGAAAGCCAGGGGAGCAAACGGG
rnacentral:rRNA from 1 species